rnacentral:lncRNA from 1 species
GAUGCAGGGCCAUACACUCUCCGAAGCACUUCUUCACUCUUAUCUCGUAAUUCUCUCCCCACCCUUUGGUUGAGGAACAGGUGAUAUUUUUAGCUCUGUUUUCCUAGUAAGUAAGUUAAUUUUCAGAGAAGAUAAAGUAACCCCAAAGACACAACUGGAUAGAAGUUGAUCUAGGGCUAGAAACCAGCUCUCCCAACCUAGGGAUCAGGGUUCCUCACUGUCCCCCAAUGCCACUGGAACCUGAAAUGGCACGGCCUGGUCUGGAGGACGUUGAGGAGCAUAAAUUAGGCAGAGGAAGGAGUGUGGGUACGGGGAGUGUUCCAGGUGGAAGGAACAGCACUUCAAGGCCUUGAGGAAGGAGCCAGAGUGGUGCUUCCUGAGAACCAAAACAGGCCAGGAAGGCUGGGCCACGGAAAGCAACGUGGGGGCUGGUGUGAGGUGGGACUGGAUUAUGAAGAGCUCCGAGAGCUCACUUGCCACUUCUUCAACGGGACCUGCCUACCUCCAGCAGCAGAUUCCUUCCUGAAGAGCGUCAGCACACUCUCUCCCGUGGACUUCCGCUGUACCCAAUGGCACUGACCUUUGAGCCACUGGUGGCGGUGUGGGGGGAGGCACGGGAUUAACUGGAAUAUGAAGAGGAUGGAAGGAAUGACAUGGGCUGCUAUCAGUCAGGAGAAAGCGUUGUGCUUGGAACCGAGAGAAAUAUGUGUGAGUGGUCAAGGUGCCUAAGGAAUGGGACUGACAUGGGCCGUCAGGGAUGCUUGAAGGAUUAAUACUUUAGACCCAGCCUUUCAUGUCUUGGCUAUUGCAAUGGUCUCCUAACUAAUCAGCAAGCCGGUCUUCAACUUUGACCAAAUCAAGUUGCCCAUACCUAAAACCACCAGAAAGCCAGUCUGGAGUGGAAGAGACAGAAGCGAAGCUGCAGAGAGGAGCGAGGAGAGAUGGAGAGAGCAUCCUGUUGGCACUUGAGCCCUGUGUUCGACAUGUUUCUUAGGCCGUCAAAGGGCGGGUUCUACGGAAUCAGACCCUGAGACCGAGUCUCGGGUGCAGGAUAUUUAUUAGGGAGCAACACUCAUGGGAAGAAGGAGAGGAAGCAGUGUGGCGCAGAGAGGGAAACUGAACUACAACGCAGGUCUAACAAAGCCUUGGUCGACCACUCAGCGAACUUGUUGGUAUUGUCCUGCAUGGGCCACGAUGGCCUGGCCUUUAUAGUCCCCGUGACCAGUGACUGGGUCUGAGCUGCCCAGGGAAGAGCAUGUUCCUGGGUGAGGCAACUCUGUUGCUGAGGCAGACCCUGAAGUCACAGACGGUUGCAGGCUGUCUACUAAACACCCACCCACAUCUGGGGCAACACAUCCUUCUUUGAAAGGGGUCUGGGCAGCACAUCUCAGGUCCACCACGGAGGCCUGCCUUCGCCUGCCUUCCCUGUGAGUAAUGGUCAACGCUGUCUUUUAAUUAUGUGAGACACUCCAAAAUGCUUUCAAUACAUUUCCAUUUCGCCAAAUCAAGGUCAAGUUAGAUUUCUAUCACUUGCCACCAAGAAAGUCCUGACUAAUAUCCUCCAGCCAGAUGGCUCCCCAGAACACCCUCUCUACUCCUUCGGCUGAGAAGUGCCUGUGCUUUUUCUCCUCUACCCACCCAGUGAUGCAACAGGUAUUUCCCAAGCACCCACUGUGUGCCAGGCAGGACUCGAACUCCUCCUCUCCCAAAGCUCCAGCCUCGCCCCGCGGCCUUCCAUGGCCUCUCCGACCCUCGGCCCUCAGCACGUGCGCCCUCCUUUGAACGCCAAUAGCUCUUGUCAUCUCUGCUGUUCACUCAGCGCUGCUUUGCCUCUCUCUGGACCACUGGCCUCCAGGAGAAAUGUUCUGGUGGCACUGUUCUAGGAAAUAAGGGGCCCCAAGGAGGAAUGGGACUAGAAAAUUCCCGUGGGCUUGUCCCAUCCUCAGAGGGUGUUCCUUAAAUUUCGGUGCUCUUUCUAGGAGAUUCUUGGAGAAAUUUCUUCCCUAUCUCAUUAUCGAUAGCACAAGUGCUUCUGGAUAGCUGCCUGUUUUUUCUCUCACCGCCCUGUGAACUGUAUAACUGGCUACGUUCUCUUUUCACAUCGCUUGCUAGGGAGCUCAAGCCGAAUUUGUGACACUCUCUUAGCAAGCAUGUAACAUUCUAUGUCCAUGUCACUGACCACAGCCUCCAGGUAAUUGAGGCUGAGGACAUAUUUUAUUUGUUUAGUUGAGAUUUCUUAAAAAUAUAACCUGAAUGUCUUCAGGCUGGGCACGCAGCCUCUUGGUUGCCACAAACACACCCACCCCCUGUUGUAAAUACAACUUGUCACUUCACAUGUGUGCUACCUGCUGGCCCCCUGAAAGCGUUUGAUUUUAGAAUUCUUCACCUGUGAUGUGCAUUUUAAAAAAAUUUUAAUAGUAUGUUUUAUUUAACCCCCACAUCAAAAAUAUUAUCAAAAUAUUAUGUUUUAAAAAGUAUUAAUGAGUUUUUUUAUACUAAGCAUUUGGAGUCCAAUGUGUCUUUCUUUUCCUGUGGCAAAAUACACGUGACAUAAAUUUCCCAUUUUAGCCAUGUUUAAGCGCACAGUUCAGUGGCUUUAAGUGCAUUCACAUUGCUGCGCAGCCAUCACCAUCAUCCGUCUCCAGAACUUUUUCCAUCUUGCCAGACUGAAACUCUGUUCCCAUUUAAUAACUCCCAUUUCCCCCUGUCCCCACCAUUCUGCUUUCUGUCCUUAUGAGUCUGACUACUCUAGGGACCUGGUAUAAGUGGAAUCACACAGUCUUUGUCCUUUUGUGUCUGCCUCAUUCCACUCAGCAUGAUGUCUUCAAGGUCCAUCCACGUUGUAGCAUGUGUCAGGAUUUCCUUCCUUUUUAAGGCCGAAUAAUAUUCCAUUGUAGGUGUAUGCCACAUUUUGUUUAUUCAUUCAUCUAUGGUCUGCCUUUUUGUAUUAGCCUCAUUGCAUGUUGUUGCACUUGCUCUUUCUAAAUAAACUGCCUUUAAUCCUUUUAUGAGCAGCGCGCAGCAUAAAUAAAUACAUCCACAUGUUCCUCCUCAACAAGACCAUAAGCUCCUUAAAGACAGUGCUCAGCACAAGUUGGGCACAAAGCAGAUGUUCGACACGUGUGUUCUGGGCACAGGUCACACUGGCAUCUAACCCGGGUGAGGGGGCUGCGCAGGGUAGGCAGGGGAGCGCCUGCACCCUGGCCGAGGGGUGGGGGUGGCGUGCGGGGCACAAAGCCAGGGCAGCCUUGGCCAUCUUGUCUGCGUGUCGCUGGUUCCUGCAUCCACUCUGCGUCCUCCAGUAGCGUUUCUUGCGGGUCUUAGAGACGGCGCUGUCAACAUGUGUUACCUUAGAAACAGUGACGGGGCGCCUGGGGGCGCAGGGGCUGAGGAGCUGCUCUGCGUC